UUUUCCACUCCGAAAACGAAAACUCAGUUGCAAGUUGCAACAUGCUGCAAAUAGCGGCUGUUGCCAGGCCGCAAAACGAUACGAUUCGAGAUGGCAGAUACCCAGAUACAAGAUACGAAUGUAUCUUCAGAAUUUCCUCGCCUUUUCCACGGAAACAGGCGAAUGCAAAUUUUACUGCGCUCGCCGCUUCGGCAAAUGAAAAAUUGAAAUGAAAUUCCAUGAAGCACGCAUGUGUGUUUGUAUCUGUAUCUUUGGGAUAUCUUUCGUGCCACAUUAGCUUUAUGUAGAUGUGUUUUGUCAGAUAAUAAAUGAAAUGAAACGAGAA